rnacentral:rRNA from 1 species
GACGAACGCUGGCGGCGUGCUUAACACAUGCAAGUCGAACGGAAAGGCCCUGCGCUUGUGGGGUGCUCGAUUGGCGAACGGGGGAGUGACACGUGAGUAACCUGCCCUUGACUGUGGGAUAACUUCAGGAAACUGGGGCUAAUACCGGAUAUGAGCUCCUGCUGCAUGGGGGUGGUUGGAGAAUGUCGGCUGUUGGGGAUGGUCUGGCUGGUUAUGAGCUUGUUGGUGUGGUAGUUGUUGUCGAAGGCUUUGACGGGUAGCCGGCAUGGGAGGGUGACCGGCCACAUUGGGACUGAGAUACGCACCAGACUCCUAUGGGAGGCAGCAGUGGGGAAUAUUGCACAAUGGGCGGAAGCCUGAUGCAGCAACGCCGCGUGCGGGAUGCUGGCCUUCGGGUUGUAAACCGAUUUCGCCUGUGACGAAGCGUGCGUGACGGUAAUGGGUAAAGAAGCACCGGCUAACUACGUG